rnacentral:rRNA from 1 species
GACGAACGCUGGCGGCGUGCUUAACACAUGCAAGUCGAACGGAAAGGCCUUUUCGGCGGUACUCGAGUGGCGCACGGGUGAGUAACACGUGGGUGAUCUGCCCUGCACUCUGGGAUAAGCCUGGGAAACUGGGUCUAAUACCGGAUAGGACCGCACUUUAGUGUGCGUGGUGGAAAGUUUUUUCGGUGUAGGAUGAGCCCGCGGCCUAUCAGCUUGUUGGUGGGGUAAUGGCCUACCAAGGCGGCGACGGGUAGCCGGACUGAGAGGUUGGUCGGCCACAUUGGGACUGAGAUACGGCCCAGACUCCUACGGGAGGCAGCAGUGGGGAAUAUUGCACAAUGGGCGCAAGCCGGAUGCAGCGACGCCGCGUGGGGGAGGACGGCCUUCGGGUUGUAAACUCCUUUCGCCAGGGACGAAGCGUUUUGUGACGGUACCUGGAGAAGAAGCACCGGCUAACUCUGUG